AUGCACCUCGCAUAUCUCAUCCUCACCGUCUUCCUGGCCCAGCUCCUGGGCACCACGGGGCAGGACACGGUCACCCAGGAAGAUGGAGCAGUCACUGUGAAGCAGGGACAGCCCUUCCACACCACCUGCAAAUACCAGAGCAGUAAUUUUAAUGGCUUACUCUGGUACCAGCUGCGGAAAGGCCAAGCCCCACAGCUGGUCUCCUAUCAAGCAGGGAGUGGCCCCAGGCACAGCGGCCGUAUCAGCACGCACCUGAACACCACGGGCAAAUACAGUGUCCUGCAGCUGGAGGAAGUGGAGCUCUCUGACAGUGCCUUGUACCUCUGUGCUCUGCAAGACACCCUGCUGCAGGGAGCUUCCUCGGCUGUCCUUGUGUCGCUGAUUGUGCUGGUGCCGAGAGAGGCGGGGGCUGAGGGCGGCCGGGGCGGAGCUGGCGGCGUUGCAGAGGAGGCGGCACGGGCGCAGCAGAGCCGGGGCUGA